rnacentral:lncRNA from 1 species
GGUUUUUCCCAAAAAUCGCAUUUUUCUUCCAUUCACUCCCCAAAUCAGUUUACAGAUAUAAGUUAACUUGCUGUAUACACUCAGAACCCAUUUCUAACAUCAAAAUCACACUCACAACUUCAAAUCCAACAAUUCAACAUAAAAUCCCAAAAUCCCAAUUCUCACUACAACUCUGUUAAAUUCAAAAUCAGAAAUCAAUAACUACACUAUUGAAGUAAACCUCACCCUUACCUUAGAAAUUGCAGAAGAAAUGUGCAGCAAAAUCACUCUUGGCUCUAACUUGGUCUUCUCCCAUUUUUCUCCCAACUUGUCAGUUUUACGUACAAAGCUUUCUAACCUCUCUUUUCCUAACUUCCCAUUACUUGUAACUCCCUUCUAUUUUCAUUUAACUCCCUUUAAUUAUAAUAAAUAUUAAAUAACUCCCUAAACUCCAAAAUAACCAAUAUUUCAUACUUACUCUAAUUAUUAUUAAAUAAACCAUAUAAUAAAAUAAUACACCACAUAAAUCACCCAAAUAUCAC